rnacentral:sRNA from 1 species
CCGCGAGACUGCAUCUCCCGGCCGAGACUGCGGCCCUCAGCCGCAGUCUCGGCUGGAGGAUGCAGUCUCGCGG